GCCGCGGUAAAACCAGCACCUCAAGUGGUCAGGAUGAUUAUUGGGCCUAAAGCAUCCGUAGCCGGCUUUGUAAGUUUUCGGUUAAAUCCAUGUGCUCAACGCAUGGGCUGCCGAAAAUACUGCAUGGCUAGGGAGUGGGAGAGGUAGACGGUACUCAGUAGGAAGGGGUAAAAUCCUUUGAUCUAUUGAUGACCACCUGUGGCGAAGGCGGUCUACCAGAACACGUUCGACGGUGAGGGAUGAAAGCUGGGGGAGCAAACCGGAUUAGAUACCCGGGUAGUCCCAGCUGUAAACGAUGCAGACUCGAUGAUGCAUUGGCAUAAUAGCCAGUGCAGUGUCGCAGGGAAGCCGUUAAGUCUGCCGCCUGGGAAGUACGUACGCAAGUAUGAAACUUAAAGGAAUUGGCGGGGGAGCACGGUCAUA
rnacentral:rRNA from 1 species